rnacentral:lncRNA from 1 species
CUUUACCAUCCUCCUUUUUGCAUUUUCUUGUCUGUUCUUUUUUUCUGAGAACCAGCAAAGCGAAGGAUGCUCACUUCACUAGAAAUAGCAUUCAUUUUCCUCUGGGGUUUGUGGAUUCUGUUCAUAGUAAGGUGGAGGCCUAGAAAGCUUCCUUCAGAAACAGGUUUGUACUGACUGACACGAUAAAGUGAUAGAGAUGCAGAUGGAGAUGCCUUUCAGUUCACGAAUUCUUUCUCAGAUGCUUAUGCCUGUGCUGCCACUGCAGUCAGCGUUUUGCUGCAGUGUGUGCUGUUCAAACUCCAGCUCGAGCUUCCCCUUCUGCUUCUAGUGCCUCUUCAACAGCGCAGGUGCUGCACUGAUAAGGAUAAAAAUAUUGCCCGUUGGAAAUGGGUGCACAAGAUUUUUCAUCUUCUGAAAUGGGGAUUUGUGAUGCAGCAACCUGAAGCUUCCCCUUUCAGCACAAGAAAACUUCAUGAUCACACCAUGAGCAGGAAAAGAAGAGAAAGGAGAGCAGAACACGAAGCUGAUCUGCCUAAUUUUAUUGCGCAACACUAA